rnacentral:sRNA from 1 species
AACUCUUCAUCGCAUCCAUUAAUUCAAGACCUUCCCUCAUACUCCCCGCAUUGCAAAGCCCAUUGAUCAAAAUGUUAUAGGUACAAAGAUCCGGUAAUACAUUAGUUUGCUUCAUCAGCUCCACAAUCUGAAAUGCUUC